UGCCCUAGUAACGGCGAGUGAAGCGGCAACAGCUCAAAUUUGAAAUCUGGCCUUCUUUGGAGGUCCGAGUUGUAAUUUGCAGAGGGCGCUUUGGCGUCGGCAGCGGUCUAAGUUCCUUGGAACAGGACGUCACAGAGGGUGAGAAUCCCGUACGUGGUCGCCUGCCUUCGCCGUGUAAAGCCCCUUCGAUGAGUCGAGUUGUUUGGGAAUGCAGCUCUAAAUGGGAGGUAAAUUUCUUCUAAAGCUAAAUACUGGCCAGAGACCGAUAGCGCACAAGUAGAGUGAUCGAAAGAUGAAAAGCACUUUGGAAAGAGAGUCAAACAGCACGUGAAAUUGUUGAAAGGGAAGCGCUUGCCGCCAGACUUGCUCGUGAAGGUUCUCCUCCUCGGGCAGGCCAGCAUCAGUUUGAGCGAUCGGAUAAUGGCCUCUGUCAUGUAUCUUCCUUCGGGAUGACCUUAUAGGGGAGUCGUAGUACGGUCAGCUUGGACUGAGGUCCGCGCAUUUGCUAGGAUGCUGGCGUAAUGGCUGCAAGCGGCCCGUCUUGAAACACGGACCAAGGAGUCUAACAUCUAUGCGAGUGUUUGGGUGUCAAGCCCGAGCGCGCAAUGAAAGUGAACGGAGGUGGGAACCCCUUCUGGGGGUGCACCAUCGACCGAUCCUGAAGUCUUCGGAUGGAUUUGAGUAAGAGCAUGGCUGUUGGGACCCGAAAGAUGGUGAACUAUGCUUGAAUAGGGUGAAGCCAGAGGAAACUCUGGUGGAGGCUCGCAGCGGUUCUGACGUGCAAAUCGAUCGUCAAAUUUGGGCAUAGGGGCGAAAGACUAAUCGAAC
rnacentral:rRNA from 1 species